rnacentral:rRNA from 1 species
UACGGAGGGAGCAAGCGUUGUCCGGAUUAACUGGGCUUAAAGGGUGCGUAGGCGGGUCGGUAAGUCAGUGGUGAAAUCUCCGGGCUUAACUCGGAAACUGCCAUUGAUACUAUCUUUCUUGAAUACCGUGGAGGUCAGCGGAAUAUGUCAUGUAGCGGUGAAAUGCUUAGAUAUGACAUAGAACACCAAUUGCGAAGGCAGCUGGCUACACGAAUAUUGACGCUGAUGCACGAAAGCGUGGGGAUCAAACAGG